rnacentral:rRNA from 1 species
AGUUUGAUCCUGGCUCAGAAUCAACGCUGGCGGCGUGCCUCAGACAUGCAAGUCGAACGCGAAAGAAGCCUUCGGGUUUCAAGUAGAGUGGCGUCCGGGUGAGUAACACGUAGGUAAUCUACCUUUGGGUGGGGAAUAACGCAGGGAAACUUGCGCUAAUACCGCAUAAUGCAGCGGCACCACAUGGUGACAGUUGUUAAAGCGGGGGAUUUUCGAACCUCGCGCCUGAAGAGGAGCCUGCGGCAGAUUAGCUAGUUGGUGAGGUAACGGCUUACCAAGGCAACGACGGGUAGCUGGUCUGAGAGGACGACCAGCCACACUGGAACUGAGAUACGGUCCAGACACCUACGGGUGGCAGCAGUCGAGAAUUUCUCUCAAUGGGGGAAACCCUGAAGGAGCGACGCCGCGUGGAGGAUGAAUGCUUUCGGGUUGUAAACUCCUGUCAUUUGGGAACAAGGCCUUACGUUAA